AUAUGUAUAUCUAUUGCAAUGUACUAUAAAAUUUAUUAUUCUAUAAAAAAGUGUCUUAAGAUCUUUAGUAAAAAUUAUCUCUAUGAAUGCCAAAAUAUAUAUACGUAGAUUUUAUUUCCGUCAAUGCCUAAUUAGUUUAUUAUUGUACAUAAAAUGGUACAUGAGACAGCGUAUUUUUGAGGUACCAAUCAAGGCUGGCGAAAGGGUUAAAUCACCGACGUAAACGCGGUGCGGUGCACUCAGCUUUUUUUUCAGCGCGUGCUUACCGCAAUACUUAAGUGGUAAUCGUUGAUGAUUCGAUUGGCCGCAUCUCGGUUCUGGGUGCGAUGUAUGAGCGCGCAUUCUGAGCAACGAUUCCUCACAAUCAGUUGGGAGGGUCAAUGGCCGACUAAACCCAAUGUACGGCGCGUAUACGAAGCGGCUUGAACUUCGCCACCGCCGCCGCCGUCGCCGCCGAUUUCUUAUUUAAAUCACGGCCGAACUCACAAAUCACCGCUAUCGUAUCCCAUUAGGCGAUUCGGAAUCUAAUAAAACUCCUCCCCGCAUCAUAUUGCGCCUCCCUAUUGUAUACAUAACUAUUUCGAUCGUGAUUGCACGCACAACUUUUUCAGCGGCUCGCCUUUGUACUCGCACACGAUACCAAAUAUGUUUUAACAAGCGAUGUCAAGUGUCACUCCGGCAACUGCCCAUCAUCGCGUUCAAUGACCGUUGCAAUACGCCAACCGGAAAAUGUGUUUCCUAUUCCGUCUAGUAUUUUCAGUUCCGACUAUUUUUUAUUGUUCACAAAAGCUGCAUUGCUUCAGGCCACUUCUCUUAAUAAAUAAACUCAAUAAAUAAUUUUGUCACAUUGAGAGUAUAUUCUAUAAAUUGUAACACAAUAAAAAUAUGCAGCAAUAUAAUUAUUCUUGAUCUGUUGCGUUAUAAGCUAGUCGGUAAUCGCGAGAAAAAGUAGUUUCGAUGACAUCAACGUGCCGCUGGCGGCGCAAGAAUGUUGACAUUAAUGCUGUUUACUCAACGAGGUAACAGAUUGCAGUAUUAAUUAUCGGUGAUUAUCAGACUCGCCGUUCAGAGUAACCAUUUUUCAUAAUUUAACGUUCAAUUCGACCACGUCGCUCCGAGGGAUUGAAAUUCAAAUUGUGCACCUUGCUCUUUCGACGAAAAAAACGUCCAUGACCGAAGAGCAUCAUAAGUAAAUAUCAACGUCUGACGUAUUCUUCUGCAAAUUCUUUGUUCAUUCCUUUAAAGAACGAAAUAAGGAUAACAUAAAAAAACAGUAUUGUUAAAAAAAAUAUUGUGUCUAAAAGCUUUAAACAAUCUUCUAACAAUAAGUAAAAAUUGUACAAGUAUAUAUUGAAUAAAAUAAUUUACUUUAAAGUUAAAGAUGAAAACAAUGAAGAUACAAUAUAAAAAAUGAUUUUUUAAUAACAAUAAAUGCAAUUAUACUCUAUAAUAUGUCUUUAAAUAUUUUCUUUCAAAACAAAAUUACAGAAAAUGUAAACAGGAAGCAUAGAUAUGAGGUGCAGAUUGCAAUUAAAAUCCUAUAAAGCAUUAAAUAAUCAGUCGAAUAAUACGAUAAAUUCUACUAAAAUUCAUAAUAAUUUUUGAUAAUAUAUAUGUGCGUGAACAAAGUUUUAUCAACGACUCGGAAUGCAAAAUAUUUAAAUUACAAACUUGUCGAUGCUUUCCGCCAAAAUUCUUCCGUUUAAUUAGUAUCAUGGAAUAACUUCGUAUCAGCUGCUCGGAUCGAAAUUUCUCAUUAACGCCAACAUUGCUCAAUGCAAUGACUGACGCUGAGACGUGUGACCAAUUACGUUGAAAAGCACCGCUUAUUAAGCACGGAUUAUAAGUCGCCGAGCAACGGUCAGUCGCGAGGAAAAAAAAGGUCGAUGCGAAGCAAGACAUCAGGCGAGGCCAAGAAUUCUUUCCUUGCCUCGACAGAACUACUUCGUGUCAAUUACUGAUUCCGCGUUUCCUCAAUUACCGCAGCCAACAGUCGCGCAAUUGCUCAAGUCCACUGUAAGAGCAUAAAUAAUCAUUGUUGUGAAGGUGUUGCUCAGUAAUAUUUCAAGCCAUUCGCAGAUACUACUUCUCUCAAACAGAGACAAAGAUAUGAUAUAAAAAUAUAUGUACGUUAAAAAAGAGUUCAGUAAGCUACAAAUAUAAAUAUGUAACACACUAUUACAAAACUUAUUUCUUGUUACAUUAUUUUAUUUAACAUUUCAUAGCUAUAAAAAAAACGCUUUUUUUCUGAUGUAUACAAUUAUAAAAAAAUAUAUUAAGUAUACAGUUCCGGACAAGAACAUUAACGUUUAAUUAUUUACAUUAAAUGUGAAUAUAUUAUCAGACUAUAACAAUAUUAUUUUAUAUUUAAUCUCUUAAUCUUUAUCUAUUAAUUGCAGAUUUAUAUAGAGCUUCUGUCAAGGAAAGUGGGACAGUUAUUAAACUUUCUCGCGCUACCGCUGUACCGUUAACGUUAUAAAAUUACAUUAUGUUGUGCGUGUCGCGUACAAGAAUCGCGUAAUUAAAUUAAUAAUUAAAUUACAAUAUAACCUCGCAUGUUGCGCGUAUACAUUCGCGGGCGUGCACGAAUAAAAUAUUCACACAGUUAUCUUCCACGUGCGAUAUUCUGACAAACGAUUCCACGUGUGAGUGAAAUGUUACACGUGCAUGCGUACGAACGUCAGCAUGCACAUGUAUACAAACAACGCGUAACGCACGUAACAGGGUUGGAUUAAUAACUGUGCCUGACGGGCAUGGCCCCCAAAAAAGAUUAAGGUCCACGAAGUCUUAACAGCUGCCCAAUUUAAAUAUGGAAACAAGAAAUAAGUUUUGUAAUAGUGUGGAGAGAAAAAUUGUUACUUUAUUGGGGGGAUCCUCAAAAGCACCAAUAAAUAUUUAUGCGUAAAGAAAUUUUAAUCCUCGGUUAGCUUUUGUUUAAAUUAAAAAAUAUAUUAAAAUUUUUAUACAUGUUAGAUUUAAUAUAAUAGCGAAAAGGAUUCGUACAAAAGAAACACGUAUUUUAAAAGUGAUAAAAAUGAAAUUCAUGAUAAAUAAGUACAGACUAAUCUUUUUAACUUGUCUAACGUAUAAAAUUUGGAUUAUCUCAAGUUCUAAACAAGCGUUUAGGAUCCUAGAUUUGCGAUGCGGCCCUGUACAGUACGUACGCGGGAGAUCUUGUCUGAUGCUCGUAAACCGAGACUUUACUGCGUUUUCUAUGCAGUAUUUAACCCUGAAUUUAUAUCCCGUCAGGGCUCAUUUAUACCGGGCGUCGUCGCGGUACCGCCUUUAACGGCCGCGGUCCGUUGUUGUAUUCAGUAAUGCGCGCAAUUAGAUAGUAAUUAGCCGUGCCGCGGCUGGGACUCUACGCGGGCCCCACGGGCUUCGAUGCGCUCGCGACGUGCAAGCGUUUUCCGAGCGAGCGCGUGACUGCCCGCUUCGACCCUCGGGACAUUUUGAGAAACCAUUUCUCUUUACAGCCGCUUUUUUUUUCGCGAGCGUCCUUUCGGCCCGUGGAAUAAAUCACGUCGCGAAGAAUGCUUUCUGUUCUGUGGGAAACGUUUUGCGAGAAACGGCGGUCUAUCCUUAUGCAACGAGACAGGCAUGAGGUAACACCUCGAUGAGAUAAAAAAUUUUUGAAUGUAUUAAUCGAUCGACAGCACAGUAGGAUUAUACACGCAUUUCACAAUCGGUUAACGGCUUAAGAAACUAAAACUGAAUUAAGAUAACGUAGAAAGAUAAGAGACAGACAAUGAUAUUGAAGAAAAAUAAAGAUAAUUAAGUAAAUUUUUUGGAUUUCUUUUUCUCUAUAACUUAACUAAAUAUAAUUAAACGUAAUUAGUCGCUUGAAAUUUUACUGAGAUCUUGUAAUUGAUAAAUUAUUAAUAAAAAUGGAAUAAAACGGCGUAUUGUUAAAUAGUGUUACGAAUACGCGAUGACAAGAUAAAUGAUGAGCGAACUUGAAGCAAUCCUUUCUUUCCAACGACUGGUGCAUCCACGAUUGUUACAGUCUAUUAUAAUAAUAGAAUGCAGUCAGCCCCGUAAGAGAAUUCCCUUCUCAAUAAAAGCGCCUAUAAUUACCGCUCAAAGUGAGUAUUAAUCGGUACGUAUCUCGCUGCCGCUUUCUACACUGACGAAGUACGAGUGUAGACGUGGAAAAAAGGCGAGCACGAUCAAAACAAUCAGCAUUACGCUAAUAGACGUAAUUACCGGCUUUACAAAUCGAGUCUGCCAACGACUAUCCAUCUUAUGAAUGCAAAGCACGCCUUUGCGCGAAAUUGCCGCGCAGCCAUGUGAGAAUCAAUGAAUCAUGUCGUGAACAUUGCCUUCCAAAAUUGAAAAACUCUACUAGCACAGGAAAAACCCUCGCCUAAAAAUAUUUGUUACUUUUGCAAUUAAGUAAACAAUAAAAUUCGCAAAUAGAUAUUAUAAUAGAUAUUAGUAAUUACAUUCCAGUCGAAUAUAUGCCAUGGCUUUCUAAAAUAUGAUGAUUUUAUUCCAAUAGUCGCGUUAAAAACUUUUAUGUUUCUUUUGUAAUUAAAUUCAAAUAUCUUCGUGGUUCGAUAAGUCGCAUACACUUUCAACAAACAUUUGUCUAAAUUAAAAAAAAAUAUAUCCCUAUAUAAAGACAAAAUAUACUGUUUAGGAAAAUCUAUGUGUUUCUAUUGAAAUGAAUUCUAAUAUAUUCCCGCUCUCUUAUUCACUCUGCGCACGUCGACCGCAAGAUGUUGCAUUAACUUCGCGGUAAAGUGCUUGAGUCGCGAUACCGCGUAUCUUCGGCUUUCAGGUCGCUCCGGUUGUGCAUUGUCAUAGGCACCGCUUAACCAACAUACGCAAAUGGCGUUUCCAAGACGCACCGUUAUCCGCAAUAAUAAUUAUCGGCCGUAAAAAGCAAAUCGCGCGCGGAUACGUAGACGCGUAAUUCAUGAGUAGCGAAGUACCCGUUUAUCUGCAUAAUUGCAUAUUUAGUUAUGUAACACGUACCCUUGAAAACCUCAUCCUAUUCCUAAGACAUUCUCCUUCGUGGUGCACGCGAUAAGCGUAGCAGGCGUACGCACACGAACGCGUAUACACAUUUUACGCAUCGGCUUCUCUAAAGCUGCUUUGUCGCUGAUCCGAUUAUGAACGCCUCUAUCGACGUAAGUAGCUGCUUCCCACGAAUCUUUGUCGACGGCAAGACAUCGGCCUCUCGAGGAAUUAUGAGACAAACAGAUCCCGGAAAGCAUUGCGCAAUCAUAAUCACGCGGGUAACAAACGUCAAAGGCUUCUUCUAAAUUAUUUGAGUUACUUAUUGGCACAAUAACGAGCUUAAUAAUGUAAGAUAUCGGAGAAAGCAGUAUUCAUCUUUUUUUAGUUAAAAUAAGGAACUUAAAGUAAAGAUUAAAAUCUAUAUAUUACGAAGGGAGAGCUGAUAAAAAAUAUUUAUAAAACUGGCAUUAGCAAUUGUGUCAUCGAAAAUUUCACGCUUUAAAUUCGCGGUUUGAUUAAAUUCAUCUAAAUCAAUUUUCCCAAGAGAGUGCACGUCCCGUGAAAUUAUAGCACGCGCGACCGGAGAAAUGAUGGCAUCCCCGCAAAACCACGAGUGCCAAUUUACGGGAAGCAUUAGCGCAUCCUGUAAUUUGCGUGUUUACCACGAACUUUUUUUUUCCCCCUCUCGACGAUCGCCGAGGAUCGCGGCUUUAUCGGGCUGGACGAAGUUAUCUAAGUGAAACGAGCGGUCGAGAAGUUAAUUUGCCGCCGUACUUCACGGCCGAGUUACUCCCAAUGAAAACGGAAUGAGCUGAGUGAAUCACGGCACUGCUCGGCGUGAAUCAGUGAAUAUCACGCGAAUCCGCGCGUCGUUUCCUCGGGCAAUGCGACUCCACCCGUCGCGAAUUGCAACCGCAAUCGCGACUCGCAGGUGGUGGUGGUGCUCACGGAAACCGGAGUGUAUAUCGAUACUUAUCGAUAAUUCUAAUGGCCAUGCUCUGUCCAUGGUUACGGAGAUCGACGACGAGUUACGCGGCCGCGGGCGCGUCGAGCGAGAGCUGACGAUCUUCCUCUCGCUCGUCCCCUGACGCAAAACGGCCACCCUAAGUGCCUCCUCCCUCCUCCACCUUUCCCCAUGAGUUUCGUAACACGGUAACGUGCGAAUCGUGCCACAAAUUGACCGAUUGGAACUCGGCUAGCCGGUGUAACGGCCGUCCAUUAUCCGAUCGGUCGAUGAAUCGAUCGGCCGCGAUCAAUCGGAGCACGCGCGCAGCGGUCGCGAAUCGAUCCCCGCAGCACGUGUUUCGCCCCCGCUGGAUCGCAUUCCCGCCGCGGCGAUUAUGCGCAUAUCAAUGCGAAGUGCAGUCCUGAAACUCGUCGCGAUCCGUCGCGUCCUCCGCUUUGACGUUACGAUCGACGCGGGCGAUUCGGAAAUCUCUUCUUGCAUCCAGAUAGGAUUAUAAUAGCGAGCGUUGGACUCCGAGGGGGAAACGAUUUCAUUAAACGAAGAUGAAGAGUCUGCGGUAGGCAAAGCAGCCACAACGAUCCCUUAUGCUUGAUUGAACUUCAUUGAGCAGGCAGCCUUUCGGAUGGCUGCCUCGUUACGAUUUAAGAAAUGCUCGAGAGAGAUAAAAUCGGAUCAUUCAGUUUAAAUGUAAAUAAAAGUAUAAAUUUUUCUCACGCGCAUUGUUAUUCUAAAUUCGGCAAUAUGAUAAAAAAAAGCAUGCAAUAAAAAAUAAUAUUUUUUAAAUUGCGCUCUAUGUUGAGAGGGGAGAGACAAAAAGAGAGAAAGGUUUCUAAUUUCAAGCUAGUCUGCAGCGCAGUUAGAGCUUUAAAGUGAAGAAUGUACUAUAAAUUCAACGUAAUAGGCAAUAAAGGCACUAUUAAAAGAGCAAUAUUAUCUUCGUACAAGCUAUUACGCAUUGCAUGCACGUUGCGUGCGUGCGAUAUAAUUUUAUUAGACGCCGCUAGGCUAUAUCGUGGGAAACACAGUGCAACGUUCAUCAUUCAACAAUACUAUCGUGCCACAGUACUUGAGAUACACGGGGACGGUAUUUUCUACGAUGCGCAUCGCUCGGGUCAGACUCUUUGAGCGGGCGAAGGGCCCGCUAUUCGUUAACCCGGCGCAUCCUCUUACUUCCUGAUCCCCGAUGUCGUCGUGGCCAAUUCCUGAUCGCUCGUGGCCAAUCUCAUCUUUUCCCGUUUAUCGGACCGGAGGCUUAACGGUAAUCAUUAAUUACGUAUCUUCGAUCGCCAUUGACUGCCUGUGUUAAUCCGAGAGCCACGUUCGAUACGUCGAGCCGCGCGCGCAAUCGGCAUAUCUAAUUAGACGAUCCAUAACAGGGUAGAACGGUGGCAGCUGGCGAUCGGGUCUUGGAUGUAAUAAUCAGAAGAUGCCACUAAUCGAAGUUUAGUUGAAAUUAUUUUAUGGAUCUAUGUUACACUAGCGAGAAAAAGACUGUUGUUCGCGGAAGCGAGUGUCACGAAGGCGACGACAUUUUGUUUGGUCAAUUAAUAAGUAAUUAACCGUUCUGCGGUACUUGAUCCGUAUCAACCGGGAGUAAACUGGUCGCGUAUCGCAAUUUCGAUAAAAUAGGAAGAGAAAUAAUAAUCUAUCGCGCUUAAUGGACUACCAAUUAGAAAUCGCUCAUGCGCAUGGAGCUAAUUGCUAUCCCAGCAGUAACGACGAUGCCCGGGCCCGCGAGUAAUUACCGUCGGGAGAAAUACCGCUCGUUCGCCGAUAACUUGUUGAAUGCUGAUGUAUUGCGACAUUUUAUCGCGGCAUAACGUACCGGUGACUCAAUGUUCGCCGCAUCAAAGAUUCUCGACGAAUUUCUCUGGCGAAAGUACGUUUAUAUGUAAAAUGCAACCUGGAAGUUCGCGAUAUCAUUCAAUCACGGACGUGAGAGGCGUUUAAAAAAUAAAUAUUUUCUCCGAAGAACGUCUGAGCCUCGUAUUUAUAGUCGGUGCACGAUGCACAUAUCAAGAAACGUAUCAGGUGAAAUACUCAGAAUAAAGUUUAAUAUCUUGAGACGCAGAUCAAUAGCCAUAUUGUGAUUAGAGAUCAACUGAGAGUAUAAUAAAUAAAUUAUGAGAAACGGAAAGAUUAUAUUCGUGAAAUGUGAAACAGAAUUAAAAUGUUAACAAGGAAUUAAUUGAAGUUUUUAAAAUAAAAAUAUCGCGCAUACGUGCAGUAUUUUAUAGAAAACCAUUUAUAAUUUCUAGUGCAAAAGGAAAGUUUGGAGCAAUAACAUAUAUCUUCGAAAGUGCGCAAAUCGCUAAUAUAUUUUUUUUCUUUACGGUCCACAUAUGGUCCGGCGGGAGGAUUUAGAACUAUCUUAUGCGUGUACUUGCCUCUACCUCUCUUUCUCUCUCGACUUUAUAGAGAAUGAGCCCGCAAGAGCGAGAGCGGCAGAGCACUUCGCUUACAUAAUCUCAAGAGUGACCCGCAUAAUUAUUUGCAAAUGCCGUACCGAUACCGGUGCAGUGCCGGCAUAAAUUUUCGCCGGGCGUUAAGCGUGUCCGCGAGCUAUAAUCCGAUCACAUCGCCUUGCCUGGUUAUCCCAUGAGGAAAGCGGUGAUAGAGCGAUAUGUUUAUAUACAUGUCUCUCGUGGCCUCUUCAUAUUUUUUAUCCUCUCUACUUUCAUUCGCAACUUUUACUUCGCCUAUUUCGUCUCUAGCAAAGGCAUGAUAAAAUGAUACGACGCAAUCUUGAUAUUUCGUUAUCCCUUUCUUUUUAACUUUGUUGCCAUUUACUUAACUUUCUUUCUCUAAUUUGUAGCGUCGACAAAAUAAUGAAAUGCACGGUGAAUUUUUGCCUUUUUAUCUUUCAACUAUUUUAUUUAUUUUUAUUUUAUAAUUAUUUUAUAAUUAAUUUUCUUAAUUUUGUUGUCUUGAGACUCAUUUUGCAAUUGUCUCUUGAGUACUUAUAUCUCGAAUUAGUUACUUUUACACUCAUCUGUUUAUUUUCUAAUGUCUUCCAUGGUCCUUUUUUCUUAUUUUUUAACAAUUUUCAAGUUCUUUUCUUUCCUUGAUUUCAUUCAUUUUUGUUGAUCUCUUUUAUUUCUCAACUACAUACAUCCUCUUGUGUUUUUAUCCUUUUUGUUUUACUUUGAAUCUCAGGCCACGUUCUUGGUAGAGGUGCGAUCGAAGCGAGGAAUUAUUUAUCGCGGAACAAGGAAGGAAAGUUAUAGACAAGUUAAGAGUUACGAGGAUGCCCGGAGACAUUCUCGCUCGAGCGCGUUCGAUUUUAAUGAGAAAAGUCAACAUAUAACCACGUAAGUUUGCAAGGCUACUCAGUUGAUUGUAACUCGGGUACACGCGGCACGUGUCUUUCCUACGAUAACUAUUUUUUAGACAUAAUCGUUACGUGAAUAUCGGCUAUACGUGCUAAUUGAUGCAAGUAUUAAUCAAUCGCAAAUGAAGAAAUGAGUCAUUACAAUAGAUUACUACCGGAAUAAAACCGCUGACCUUGAGCUCUCGUACAAAUGCAUCACGUAAUAAUUACACUGACGAUAUUGCUUCUUGUAUCAAAGUAUGAAAAAUAAAAUCCUUUAUAAAAUGCGAAAGAAAGAACAAUGGAUGUUAUUAAGACACUUUAAAUUCCAUGACAACAAGGAAUUGUAUGUAUAGUUUAUUCCGGUCUCCCCUCCAUGACAACAAGGAACUAUUUUAAAAUGAUAAUUGCUCAUAUCAAUCGCAAAAGUAUAACAUUUGUAUAUGGUAAUAAUUUAUUGUCAUCGACUCACAAGCCCAAUUUCCUUCGAAAUGCUGCACGAUAAAUAAUGCAUCUUCAAUAGAAUUCAAUCUCCAACGCUUUCCGAUACAACGCGCCACUUUCAAACGUUUAUCGAUUCUCGCAUCUAAUUAUUUUCCACCUCGUAAGUAUAAAUCGACCCUAUCUAUCGUGACGCCGAGAGAAACGUGUCGAACACGAGAGAGCGAGGCAUCGUCUUAUCGAACUGCUCUAAAGUUCUUGCAUGUCCGUGCACGCUUUUGUCGAGAGAGAGAGAGAGAGAGAGAGAGAGAGAGAGAGAGAGAGAGAGAGAGAGAAAGAAAUGAGUUUUUGCGUUCAACACUGCAAAUUUAUCACCAAUCGCUCUAAGUACAUUUUGCAAAUCACAUGUUACUAAUUAAACCAUAGAUAUGAUAGACGAUUCUUAUCUUUCCGCGUUGACUCGCGCGUUGUUCGUAAAUAAUUUCGUCGUGAAAUAUUUAACAAACGGUCUGCCUUUAUCUCCGAAGAGGUGCCAGAGAAUCUUGAUAAAUAAUAAGCGCGUUAUGCUGAGUGUCCGGGCGGAUGUGUAUUUUAAUGAAACGAAAAUACGAUCAGAGCUCUCUCGUACAAGGACCUCGACAGACGGUUCCACUUUUUCGCCCAUUAACCUGGCGCGCGAGAGUACUGACCGCGUGAUCGUACGGAUGAAGGUUGGUUACGUCACCGGUAAAGUGUUACGGCCCGAUUAACAUCGUAACAAAAACACCGACGUGAUACGCAUUGAGUACUUAAGUAACAAUAUUAAAGCGUGACUUAAAAUCUGACACGGGCUGCGUGUCUUAAUAAAAUACAUAAAUCCUCGCGAUAAAUCCUCGGGUCGAGAGUUAUGCGUGAUCGGCUGCGUUGCACAAUUUCAUACCGUGAAAGUAACAUCUAAUAUUUACAUAUUUUAAUACACGGUUAAUGCAUUAGCGCUGAAUACAAUAAACCGAGGCAAAAAUAUAAACUGUUUAAUAUAAAAAUUCAUAUAUCAGUACAAAAUAAAUAUAAUCGAAAUAAUUAAUAUUUAAAAAACUUAAAUUCUAGAUGUUGUCUCUCUCGUUUUUCGAAAAUUUUUUAAAAAGUUCAAAUUUUGUCCAGUAUAAUAUAAUAAGCUAGUAAUAAUUUCAGACAAGCGCUAAAUUAUCGAGAACAAUCGUUGCGCUGCAGAGCCUCUCACGUUGCAUACAAAUAUAUCGUCUCUUCCUUUAUGUAACAUCCGUUUGAUUCACCAUAAAUCGCAAAGCACGCGGGCGUCAUUAUUUACACGUUGAACCGAGCGAUAAAAGACCCGGUCGGCGAUAGCGCAACUGUGCAACGCGCGAUUGCGACCGCAUUGCAGGCGCGUAUUGCAUUCGGUCGGCGAGGAGCGUAUAUAUCGAGACCACGCACGCAUGAGGGCAUGUACGAUGCGUCGAAGUAGACUGGCGAGGCUUCGAUAGGCAAACAGGUGGGCAGGCAGCGCGGGAUUCUUGGCUCUGCGUUAUCGGGGAGAAAAAAUGCGGCCACGAUAAUCAAGAGCGGCGUGACAUUGCCUUAGCGCUGCACCGACUCUUGGUCUCAAACGUAAUAUUUGCAUAUUGACGUAAAUACGCUGAUUACACGUAAGAUAUUGCGUAGCGCCGGAGUUCUGACAGUAACGGAUCUCUUCACGACGCUUCGGAAAAAAAAAAAUCUUUCCCUCGGAAAGAACCUUCAGCUCGGAGAGCCCGAAGUAAAAAUUAAAGACGGUUCAGGUAGGACCGAAAUAAUACGACCGAACAAACGACCGACACUUGCCAAGGUUUGUAACGGUAAUGGAUGACAGAAUCUUGGCAAGUGAUACCGUUUAGCGAGCGAACACGAUCAGCUAAAUCACGUAAAUGGAUACACCUCGAUUAUCGUCGGAUCGUUGGAAACUCGAUACACAUGUGACGCGAAGAGCAUACGUACACCACUGCAAUUUCCUUCUCUAGGUUCUUCGCGGAUUUAUCGACCUGGUGUUGAUUACUUGAGAUAGUGUUAAAUACUCAGAAAUGAUACGCGUUUUAGUAACACAUCCUUGCACGUCAUGUUUCAGCAGAGAAUUAUUCAAACGAAAAAUAGAUUCUGUUUUACCGAAAAUCGCUAAAUUUUUAAAAACUUAUACUAAAUGUUCGAGAAACAUAUAAUUCAAUAGUAAAACCACGCAAAUUACAUAUCGCGUCUGUUAAAUAAUGGCUGCGAUUUAAAACUAGAAAAAAAACGAGAGGCUUUUUAUCAUUUUCUGCGUAAGCACACUUGCGCAUUGACGUAAUUCUUAUCCUCGAUGAGAAUUAUCUUCGAUUGUUCUGCUGACUGAAUAUAAGUGCGAAUAAAAGUACGAAUAAAUACUUCAUACCCACUCAUUGUAAGCUAAAGAUUAUUUUCAGUCUAUAACUGCAUAAGAAACAUCCGUGUCGCAUUACUUGAAGAAAAUUAAAUAAUCACUUGUCUACGUCGUAAGUGAAUCCAUGAACUCACGCGAUAUUUAUGAACCGCGCGCGCAUGAUAUUUCCUCUCGUAGAGGCGUUUGCUGUAAGAGCAGCUUAAGCAUGUAAACGAUUAUAAGGUGGCGAUGCCGACGAUGUUAUGUCAUCGCUGUGGCCGUUCAUUUCAUACCGUUACGUUACGUUUCCUCGACACAGAGCUAAUCUAUGUUACUCGCCUCCCCGUUGUGUACACCGCUUCUUGUUCUUCGCCUUCUUACUGGCGAAGUCUAUCUUUCCACGCGGCGCGUUAUUCUCGCGUGCCAAUUCGCGGUUGUGCAUUCGCAAAAAGUGUAAAAGUGACUUUACAGUUUCCAGACGCCUGCUCGUAAACGUAGAAAACACGCUGCGCAAAGUGUAAUAAAAUUUUCAAGAAAUUUUUAAGUAAAGAAAAAAGGAUGCCUGGACACUUUCAAUGAAUCGCCUAACGAGCUACAUUCAGCGCUAGCGGAAGGUAGUUGCAUUCUGUAGUCCUGCGGCAGGAACUGCAUCCGAUUCGCGUUAACGAGGUACGAAUGCAACCGUUUUCGAGCGCCCAUCUGACACGCCCAACCGGAUGUACGGCAGUCCUACACUUCCACCCACACACGCGCAUAUCUCGUCCCCCACGUGCGUGCACCGUGCGUGCAACGUGCGAGCGAGCGGACGAACAAACGAGGGAGCGCAACUGUACAUGUGUGCAUUUUGCGGGGAAUGACAGUACCUGGUCACAUGGCCGAGAGAUGAAAAGUGAAAGUAUUCAAGGCUGGCACAAAGAAGUCAUUGAGGAAUUCGAAGGAACGACGAAUUACCACGCGUAUACGAUUGACGUACACGCGAGAAUUCCACAUUUCUUCAUUCACAAAAUUAGGGGAAAAAACAUUUGGAUGAGCAAAUGGAUAAUUACAAUUUUGAAGCAGCGAUACGGGCACGCGAUGAUAUCGUAAAUCUUCCUUUCAAACAAUGCAAAAUUUUUAAUAUAUUUUUAUUUUUAACUACAUAUAUCUCAUUUAUCUAAUGACAUGUUUCUUCAAUUUUUUAAAUAAUGCUUUCGUCGCUACGCCCAGUUAAAUAAUUCAUUGUUAAUUCUUAACAAUCAAAAGUAUUUUUUAAUUAUUAAAAUAUACAUAUAUAUGUUAUUUCUUUCCAUAAAAGACACCAAUUACUUUUUAAAAAUAUAGUAAUUGCUAAUACUGUCUUAAUCAAUCAAACUGCGUGCAUCAAAACGAGUCAAUUAGACGUGCAGUUGGGUCAACAUAUAUAAAAGACGGUAUUGAUAAAGAUACGUUUUUAACCUGCUUCCCGUUAUACUGUACCUGGCAAAAAUUGGUGUAGUAUUUGAGGGUUAAUCGCGUGUGACCAAGGCAUAUACAUGCGAGUUUGUUCACGAUGUUCCCACGACGAUAUCAAGCGGCCACUUUUCUCAGAUGCACGCGAGCGCACAAGGCCGCGUUUACUUUCGAGCAAUGAAAUCUGAUUUGACCGCGUGAGCUACGCCGAACCGUUUUAACGGUGGUAUGAUAAUUAGUAAAUCACGCAGCAGAACCAGUCGCCUACUAAAGAGCUAAUUCUCGGCCGCGGAUCCGGUAAGUUUACCGAUCCUCGACGGUUCGUUAUCCUAAUUGGAAGAUUCUUUUCGGAUAAAGGCUAUUUUUUUCAAGUCCCCGAGCGAUUUAACUGCGUUGUUACUGCAGGCGUCUUGCCGCGUAUUAAUAUGUAUCAUCCGUUUCGAUCCGGGUCGAGCUCUUCUACGGCCGUCCAAAUUAAAAAUGUCGCUAAGGAUUAACAUCUUUAUUUUCUUCAACAUUUGAGUUAUAUUUCGGAUUUGUCGUUCAUAAAUAAUUGCAUAAAAAAUAUUUGCAAUAUUUAUACAUUUUAACGUGUGUUGUCAGAUUAAUAAUCUCGGACCACUUAUGAAAAUCUGAUAAAGUUUUAAUCAAAGGAAAUAAUUCAUAUAAAUCGAUUCUUCACAUAGCAAAUUCGACUUGUUUAUUCUUUAAAUGCGUAAUUAAAUAAUUUCUUUAAUUGCGUAAUUAAAUAAUUCAAUUUAAAUUAAAACGCUAAUUUAAUAUACAUAUAAGGUAUAAGCUUAAGUACAUAUGCAAACUGUUAUUAUUUAAAUUUAUGGUUUUAUAAAUAAUUCACAUUAAUGCGUGCUUUAGUUUUAAUUUUUGUGUUAACGUAUCCUUUCGUAUUUUAACUUCGUAAUUGGAUUCCUGUUUUCUGAUUAACAAUACAUGACAUCACCCACGUAGUAGAUAAUGUGUGCCUCAUUCUUACAACGCGGACAAUUAAUCGAAUAUACAUAAGCGAUUCAAGUUCAUCGAAUGAGUCAGCUAGAUUUUGUUCCCGAGGGGAAAAUAUUUUGCUCAUGAUUCAAGUCGAGUCAUUCGCGAGUCAAGAGCUUUUCACGUGUCGGUUCACGAUCGACGCAGCGCGUGCACGGAGAUUGCAAUCUUCAAGGGAAAGGAUGGGCAACCUUGAAAUUCCAACAUAACAUUCAAGUUCGUAUGCAAAUAAUGUCAAACUAUCAAGAUUGUCGGCACAGGUGCUGUCAACCUUAAUUUGCUACAUUUGUCAAAGUUUUUCUAACAAAAAUCAAGAUAAUUUUACGAUUUGAUUUAAGAUAUUUUUAAAUUCUCUCUCAAAA